GUCGCCGGUGGUUGUUCUGCUAUCUCUGGAGAUGCGGCGAGGUCGUGGUAGUUGUGGUUGAAUAUUUUUGGCUUUGGAGCAGAUAUAUUUUCUUUUUCGAUCUCCCUCAGAUCUCUUCGAACGUGAAGACAAGUGAUGGUUGAAUCUCAGUUCGGUUUUGCGGCUCUCCUUCUGUUUGUCUGACGGUUUCUCCGGCUACGGCUUGUGCUGUUUCUGGUUUUCUCCGAGUCGACGAGAACAAGACCCUCUAUUAUGUAUUCCAGUGUCCUCCAGAGGGUUUUGCUAACUCGGUGACGAGUCGUGAGUAGUAACACGCAGGAAACAAUGGUGUUCCACUCAACUCCGGCUCGUGUAAGCGUCCAAGAUGUUUUGACAGGGGUUGUCUAUGGCCCCUCGGUGGCUUCUUACGCCAUUUCUUCACCACGGAUCUUCUUUUCACAGCUCGAGUUCCUGUUUACGCAAGUGAAGGUGUCGGUUUCUCUUCGAUCUGGUCUCGGCUAUUAUUGGCCUGUCUCCGUUGACACCGGUGUUGGGUUCUCUCAGUCUGGUAAAUCAGAUUUCGGUUCUUAAAGGCGUCAAAUGGGGAUACGGUUCUCCAGGUUUCAUUGACCGUCUAGGUUUUUAGAGACCGGAGGUUUUGCAGCAUCGGUGAUAUCGAUCCGUUUUUUACUUGGGUCAGCAAAGUCUUGUAUUUUGCUUGGCUCGUUAUUGUGUGUGUUUGUUGCAGUGGGGUCAUCUCUGUCUCUUAACAGUGGGGGUUGGGGUCCUGUUACUGGCUUGUUAUUUUUCGGAUGUCGUGCCUAGAAUCUGGUCACAGAAGCUCUAAGGUAUGUUUAUCUCUCUAUUACUCUAUCUUCAUCGACUACAAAGACUUCGGGGAGGAGGAGAGUUGAAUGUUUCUAGGUCAUAACCGGAUUAACUUGGGAGAUGUGAUGAUGACGAAAGGAUUCAAAGUUGCGCCCACAACUUGAUUGUGUAGUCCGAAUUAUUGGAACUGCUAAUUUCAGUAUUGUACCAAACUUUUACUUGAAUCUGAAUUGUGAUUUUUUUGUAGUGAUACCUUUUUGGGAAAUAUUAAUAAAUAUUUACUUAAAUUCUUUUUCAUAAAAAGUGACGAUACAAUUGUAAAAAACACUUUAAUUUAUAUUAAAUUAAAUUACUCUAAAUAGGGAUGUCAAAAUAUUUUAGAUUCAAUUUAUUACUCUAUAAAAUUAAGUCAUGUUGCUUCUGAACAAUCACGUGGAUACAAAUUUUUGUUUUCGGUCUAUUUGCUUAUUCUUAAAAUAAUAUUUCUAGAUAUGAAUCUUUGUUUUCGGUCUAUUUGUAUAUUCAAAAAUCUAUUUUAAGUUAUAUCUUAUUUUAAAGAUUAGCUUAAGCUAUUUUAAUGAUCAAUGAUACUUAAAUUAGUUUAAUAUUUCUUUAAAUUUUGGAUCAGAACGAAUGGGGUGAAAAAUAAAGAAAUUUUAAGCAAAAAGUGAGUAACAUGUAAAAAUAUGUUUUUGGAAGUUAGCAACCUCGAUUGGUGAGCAGACGGAGGGAAUAUGUGUCUGAGUGUCUGAAAUUAAAAUAAACUAAAUUAAGAAAGAAAAAGUGGCUUUCAAGGCAAACCCGUGACGCCUUCUUUCCUUCUUUUCUGACACGACGAUCCCUUCCGUCACCCACCACUUCCUUCUCUUGUUUUCCUAAACAAUCCAAUAAUACAAGCUUAGUAGUAUAUACCAAUUCAAUGACUGUAUUUACCCUUUUUGUUAUCUUUUUUUGUCUGUUGAGUCAACACUUUUUUCUUUAUGAGGUUUCUUCUAUGUUCUUCUCUACAUGCAAUGGCAUUCCUUCGUUUCUUCCACAACAAACUGUUUUCUUUUCUUUCUUUUAUCCCAUCGAAUAAUCAACUAUAAAGUCAUUUUCCAUAUAUAUACAUUUUGCUUCUUUAUUUGAAUACUUCAGCAAAAUAUAUUAUUUGUAAAACCUCACACACAGACACACACAAAAGCUCUUAAAACUUAUACAUGUCAUUCAUAACAAUAUGCAUUUUUACAUAUCAUUGUUAAAUGAACUGUCCAUUGGUAAUUUAAAAGUCUAUACGAGUUCCUUCAUCUUUCUGGAUCUUGCAAAGUGUAACGUUACUUAUUAAAUCUGACAUAGAUUUAUGUGAAAAACAUAAAUUAUGUAAUUUAAAACUAAAAGUAUGUCAUAUGUAUAUCCCCUCUCUUUUAGUUUCCUAGGUCAUGUGUCUAUCACAUGAAGCUCUGCUUUUCCUCGGGCAACUAGCAGUUGUUUCUCCCUCAUAUAUUAUAUAUCACGGUAAAUAAACUUUUUUUUUUGCUUUAAAAAUAAGAAGAUGAAGUAUAUGUAAAAUUUCUUAAUCUUCAUAUGGACUGUUGGACAACAUGAGGCUUUCUCUCUCAUUCUCUCCUAGAGAGAGAUUUCUCUCUCAGUUCCUCUUCCUCUUAUGAGGUUUGAGAUAGUUUUGAGAGUGUGAGGGAUCGCGUUUGUAGAGGUCCAGAGACUCCGGGAUGAUGAGGCUUUCAUAGAUCGUCAUCGUCGGUGUUUGACUCCGGGGAGUGGAGGUUUAUUCAACCUCGCGCCGCCGGCUUUGGUGGUUCGCCCCUUUUCUCUGUUGGGUGUGACACAACGGGUGGUGAAAAAAGGAAGUGAAGCUGAAGAAGGCAAUCGCUGGAAGAGGCGAUGGUGUUGAAGGGGUAUGCAUUUUAUACGCAUGAUCUGGACGUGAUCCGGUGUGUGUCGGAGAGAUGAAGCUGAUGAAACCCGAUACCUUUAAUACAGUUGUUAGAGGUGGGUUUCAUCGGAAAAUGGUGGAGAAUAGAGUUUCUCCGAUUUGGCUCUGGAAUUGACGCUUGAAUGAUUCGAUAAUCGCCGAUAUUUUCUUUGCUGGUGGUCAUCUUUGGCAUUGAAGGCUUGUAGUCGUCUGGUGUGUUUUCCGGCAAUACGAGGUCUCUGGCCGUGUCUCCGGCGAUGAAUUGAAGCGGUGCCGUUCAGGCGGCGAGGAAAGAAGUGGUGGAUGGGUGGCGCGUGUCCCUGCGUUUGGGCUUUCUUCAGCACGUGGCGUUCAUGCUUCAUGAGGUGUCCGGACGCGUGUGUCGCGUUGACGGUGAAUCUCAACGCGUGGAUGGUCACGUAUGUUUGGUUGACGCGCGUUUACGUUUGUGGGUCGAUUGGGCUUUAGGCCCAUUUGUUUCUGUUUUGUUACGUCCAUCUUGUGGGCUUUUAGUGUUUUUUUUGUGUUUUAGGCUUCGGCCCAGCACUUUAAUAAAAGAUGGAAAAAAAAAAUGUAAAAGUUCUUAAACAGCCAACAAAAGAAUUCGUGAUAUAAUAUGAGGGAGAAACAACUGCUA